UAAAGAAAAUGUGAAAAAUCAUCUUUAAUCGAUGGCCACUUCGCAAUUUCCGUAAAUUUCUAUAAAACCAUCUGGAGGAAUUCUGGAGGAAUUGCUGCGUGAGCAAGUAUAAUACUCGUUGCCGAAAACGAAAACGGAUCUGUUCCUGAGUUCGCGUGUUGUGAGUGUCGAGGGCCCAGUUUCCUUCGGACUUUUGAGCGCAUCUACCUGAAACCGCUGUAAGGAUUCAUCGCCCAGCCCAACAGUGCCAUGAGCCGAUCCACAAGCAGUCAUCAAAAGUCUACUUCCUGUGACCAUUUCAGCUGCUUUGGGGUACAUAUCCUGCCGCUGCACCAAAACAGAGGGGUACAAUUCGGCCUCGAACUGCGGCGACAUGGCGACAUGAUGUUGAGGCUGAUGAAGGAUUUAGUUCUGCGAUUUGAUCGCAACAGGAUGACCUCGGAACCGGAACCCAUGUGAGAACUUUAAGGUGCUAUCGACGCCAAAUAGUCUGAUGUGAUGAAAUGAUGCAAUCAUGAUAGACAUCGAAAUAACGUCCGGUAUUGAAGAAAAUAACACUAUUCUGUAGAUGUUCGGUUGAGAUUUGAUGUUGAGGUAAACAGCAAUGCCGUUUAAAAGAUGCGGAAUACACGAACGAUUGGCCUGAAAAGAGGUAUCAUUGUACUGUUGAGCAUAUAAUUCAACCAGCUGCCGGAAAAUGAGUAAGAUCUAUCCGUUUUCGUCAGAACAAAAAAAGGUGCAGCAUCGAUAACAAUGAAUCCGGACUAUGCCAACAAAACAAAACGAAAACCACAAAAACGUUCUCUUAUUCUGUAUGUAUGAUAUGUA